AAAACCUUUAUUACAACUUUUUUUUUCAUUGAUAGGUAUACAACAUCUGAAAGACAGAUCUGGGGAGAGGGGAAAAGGUAAUAUUGUUAUAAAAUGUCACAUUUAUUGCUACAUUACUGUUAUAUACAGGACAGUUCUCAAAAUUCUACUUUUAAAAAAGUUAAGGAUUAUUUAAAAAUUCCAAAUAAUCCAGCCAGCUGUUUUUUUUUUCUUGACACUUGUAUAAAAUUAUUAUAUAUAUAUUUUUAAAAAAUGAACACAAUCCAUAUCUUGAGGCACUCAGAAACACAACUUUAACCCCGUGCUCCCCAUCCCAGUAAUUCUGAAUCAGUCCAAAAAAAGUAUUUUUUAAACUAUCUUGCCCUUUUCCCUCCCCCCAAUACUUUUCUUCCUUUUUCUCUUUUUUUUAUUGGUGUUAGGCAUAUAUAUAUAUAUAUUUUAUUUAUUUAUACUAUAUAUAUAUAUAUCUUUAAAAACUAUAAUGUGUAUCUGAUUUAAUAACAAGGAUCUCAGCCAGUUAAAUACAGCUGGAUUUUUACACAUAGGCAGCAAACACCAAGACUCCAACCUACAUACAGUUAGAUAAAACUUAAGUCCACCAAAAGACUUAAGUUAGUCCAUUCAUUUCCAUAAGACAUUGCCAUGAUUAAACUGUAUCUGGCUUGAGGCAGCCCUCCCAAAGCAAAACAAAUCAUUUUUUUAAUAUAAAAAAGCCGUAAUAACAAAAAAAAACAACCCACUCUACAAGGACUGAAAGUUACACAGCCUUCCCCCACCCCUUCUAGAAAAAUAUAUCUUAAAUGGGAAUCAAGUUACAUUUUGUUCUCUGCAUUGCUUGAAACCCUAUUUUUGUUAACAAAACAUGUUACAUUUUCCCAUGACAACUUGAUUCUUUUUCUGCUUGUCCCUUUUUGUCUCCUGAAACCCACAUUUCCCUCCCCACCCCACGAAAAAUAAAUAUCCCAAGAGACUUUGGGACACAUCUAUAUUACAAACCUAAACUGGUUUCAAACCUGUUUCUGUCUACAGCAGCUCCGACAUACAGGAGCUCUGCAAAAGGUAGCCUUAAGAAGAGAGUCCCAUUGGGAACGCGCAGACAUUCGUGAAGGAAGAGCUCUUAACGCAGUUAUCAACCUGCAGGAUUCCUCAGGGUUUCUCAACCUUGGCAACUUUAAGACAGUCAAACUGAUCUGAAACUAGCUUAGCGCUUGUAGUAUAGACAUACCUUGGAAAGGUGCUUCCCUUUCAACAGAAAUACCUUUAAGCAAUCAAAACAAAACAAAAAAACCAUAAUUAAAGGAGAAGCUGGUUUCAUGCUGGUGGACUAGAAAGAGAUUUGGGGAGAUCUGGCACUGGAAGGACUCUGCCACUCUUUCUGCUUUGCAGAAUCACAUUGCCACAGCGGUGGUAGGAAAUCUGGUUUAGAUUGCGCAUGCCCUUCUGCUCCCUCACUCCACGCAAAGCCAUUCGAACCCAGCGACAACCCGAUAUCCUGGUUUCCAACUUUGCCCAUGGAACAGAGAGAAGGGAGAGAGGGAAAGUCAAGAGACUCUCUGGAGGACCUCGGCCACAUUUCUUCUCCUAUCUUCUUGAGAACUUUCCUCCCAUUUCCACUUUUUGCGGCGCUCCCGUCGUCAGAAAAACAGGAAUUCUGCAAUUCAGUCAAAGCAGAUGACACAACGGAAGAGACCAUGCCAGUUUGACUUGGCUGGCGUGUCCUUUGUCAUCAAAAGGUACAGUGUCUGGUCUUUUCCCCCCCCCCCCUUCUUUACAGAGAGGUCAAGGCAGACAUUUUGCAGAAAAGUCCCUCCCCACGGAGCCCUUUAUGAUAAAACGUCUCUCGCACGGUUUCUCAACCUCAGCCACUUGAAGAUAGGUGGACUUCAACUCCCAGAAUCUGGGAGUUUAAGUCCACCUAUCUCUUGAGUUGUUGAGAUCGAGAAAUACUGCAUUUAGAAGAAAGCGAAGUGGUUGUGGGGUUACCACAAACUAUCCAGCAGAUGCUGCAUCCUUUUCUCCAACCAUAAAAAAGUGACAUGCGGCGAGAACAGUUGCAGCUCACAUUUUUGAGACUGCUGCAUGCCCUUCAGCUGGCUCCAAAUGCCUAGCAACCCAAGACCAUGUUUAGUUACAGUCGGCUGUCCUACAGAAGAAUGUAGGUCUUCAAAGAUCUUCGGCCAAUGGGCCACAGGAUACCUUUCUUCCUCCCCAGGGGUGAAGCAACCUUACAGGGGAUUGGAGUUCUCUGGCAUCAGGGAGACAAUCAAUAUUCUCCUUCUCUGUCCAUGAAAAAAAAGGGGGGGAGGAUCUCCCACGAGAGCACACGGGGGAAUCGGGGGGGAAAAGGUGGCGCUACCUCACCAGCAUUUUCUGCAGAAAUGCAACAGUGAUGGCAGCAAGCACGUUCUGAGACGUUCUGUGGAGCAUUGUCACGCUGGGUAGGAGAUGCGUCUUCUUUGGUGUGUGCAUUUGUUUCACAACAGCGACUUGGAUUCUGGACGCCUCUCUCUCUGGCGCUAUAUAUACAUACAUAUAUAUAUAUAUAAAUACAUAUACAUAUAUAUCUCCAUUUAUUUAUUUUUUGCUGGGUGAGGCUUUCUUGUUCCUUUUCUCCCACGAGAUCUUUGUUCUGAUUGUUAGGAUCUUUCGCUUCCUUUUGUUCCACAUCAGUUUGCACCAGUGCUUUUUAAAAAAGGCAAGUGGUUUUCCAUUUCCUAGGCAGAGCUAGAGGGGGCAGAGUUAAACGCGUCAUCAGCUCAGAGUUGUUACGUUCCCAGAAACAGUCCAAGUCCAGCCCUCGCACCCCCCCCCUCCCCUGAAUUCCGUUGACCCUUUAUCUGGUCCUGGUUUCGGGUCUGAACUUUAGUCAACAAGAUUCUUGUGUGUAGGCUCGAGCAAGGAAUCCUUCUGAAUUGCGACUAAACGUACGGUCCUGAUUCUUUGUGCCCGAUACAGAGGCUGCCACCCAACUCAAAGCCAUGUUUUCCAACCAAUGUUCAGAAAUGCUGUGUGCCAUUCUUUUGUCUUUUUAAUGCUUUUGUUAGAAGGGAUUGGAAAUACUUUGAGUGGCAGGGACGAUGGGAGAGGGCCAGACCAAAGAGAAAGCUUCCAAGAAUUGCAACUGGUUGCAUCCUUUGGGUGAAAGACAUAAGCCACAACGACACAAAGACUAGCAGCUGAUGGAGUCAUUCCCCCUCCAACCCUCCCAUGUUCCAAGCGACAAAAAGGAGCUGAGCUGAUAUUCAGUAUUUUCUCCUCCCUCUCUUUCUCUCUUAAUUAUAAAAGCUACUAGCCUUAGGGAAGAUUUUAUUAACCCGCUCGCUAAAUGCACGUGACUUUCUCAGAGCCAAAAUGCAAAUCUCUCUUGUACCAAUCUCUUCUUUUGUUUUUCUUUUUUUUUCCUUUUUAAAAAACAUCCAGUCUCUUAAUACAAACUUUUAAUAUUUCUGGUUGAUCUUAUUUAAAAAAUAAUAUGCAACAUUAACUAUAGAAACAGCAGCAGAAAAAGGCAUGGGGAAUCAUCAAGUCUUUUUCUCUCUUUCUCUCUCUCUCUCUCUCUUUUUACAUUUUUUUUUGUUGUUGCUUACAAAACAGAGAUGCAAAAGAA